AACAUUGGAAAUUACUGUAAACUACAACUCAGAAGAGCCAUGCUCUGGUCUAGCUUUGCCAGUUGAAAUUUCCUGUGUAGUGUGAUAUUUCCUGCUCCCAUGUUUUCAUGUCCUGUAAGACUGUGAGAUUCAGGAGGACAGAUCAUGUCUUUAGCUUUCUAUCUUGAGUGCUUGACACAUUGUUCAGCAUAUGGUAGAUACUCAAUACAUUUUUGAUGAAGAAAAGUCCUCAGAGGGAAAUGUUUUUGCCUAUGUGGAAGAGGUGUAACAAAAGAGAGAAGCAUUAAAAGGAAUCAAGAUUG